rnacentral:rRNA from 1 species
UUAGUUGCCAGCAUUCAGUUGGGCACUCUAAGGUGACUGCCGGCUAAAAAGUCGGAGGAAGGUGGGGAUGACGUCAAAUCAUCAUGCCCCUUAUGACCUGGGCUACACACGUGCUACAAUGGGCGGUACAAAGGGUCGCGAACCCGCAGGGGGAGCCAAUCCCAAAAAGCCGCUCUCAGUUCGGAUUGCAGGCUGCAACUCGCCUGCAUGAAGCCGGAAUCGCUAGUAAUCGCGGAUCAGCAUGCCGUGGUGAAUACGUUCCCGGGCCUU